rnacentral:rRNA from 1 species
CCUACGGGCGGCUGCAGUGGGGGAUAUUGCACAAUGGGGGAAACCCUGAUGCAGCGACGCCGCGUGGGUGAAGAAGUAUUUCGGUAUGUAAAGCCCUAUCAGCAGGGAAGAAAGAAGACGGUACCUGACUAAGAAGCCCCGGCUAACUACGUGCCAGCAGCCGCGGUAAUACGUAGGGGGCGAGCGUUAUCCGGAUUCACUGGGUGUAAAGGGAGCGUAGACGGCCGUGCAAGCCAGGAGUGAAAGCCCGGGGCCCAACCCCGGGACUGCUCUUGGAACUGUGCGGCUGGAGUGCGGGAGGGGCAGGCGGAAUUCCUGGUGUAGCGGUGAAAUGCGAAGAUAUCAGGAGGAACACAGGCGGCGAAGGCGGCCUGCUGGACCGCGACUGACGUUGAGGCUCGAAAGCGUGGGGAGCGAACAGGAUUAGAUACCCUAGUAGUC